UCUGCCUACACGCCACCAUGCAGCUUGCCAGGAUGAUAAUGGACCAAACCUCUGAAACUAAUUCAUAUAAGUACAAGCAUGCUACAUUGGAAACAUGACUGGAUUUGAACAGAAUCGACAGCAUGCAUUUUAAAGGCUCAAACAGUAUCCCCAAAUCACAAGCUUAUAUGGAUUGGACAAACUGGAGUGGAUCAAGUUUAAGAGCGAGCUUUGAUGACUGCUGCGCUCCAAACUCUCUUGAGGCUGAACUUGCGUAGGGACUAUUUCCUGAUGUGUGAACUCACAGAGGUAACAAAAAGCUUUUCACGUCUUCAUUCUCCAUGUGUAGAGUGCCUUUUCCAUGAGUUCUUAUGGAACUAAGAAGUUCUUAUCCAAGCAAGUGCCUUAUUGAAAUCAGAAGUAGCCUGAAAUUAGCCUCUUUUUCAUUCCUGUUCUAAAAUUCAAGGCAGGACUUACAAGCUGGGCUUAGAAAAGCCUGUAAUGGCUAAUGUCAUGGCUAAUGACACACUUUUCUUGGUCCAGGUGUUGUUUUACAGCCAUUUGUGUCUAUAAUCUCAGCACCUGGGAGACUGAGGCAGAAGACUCGCAAGCUCCAGGCCAGCCUAUGCCAAGUUGUAAGAUCCUGUCUCAAAAAGAUACCCAGAAGUCUAUGCUGGCGGCAGUGGGACUCAGCUGUUGCUUCUAAAUCUUGUUGAGAGCAAAAGGGAAAGUCAGAGAAAGAGGUUCAAGUUUGUCACACGCCAACCAAAGUCCCCACUCAAAAUGAUGGUUGGACACUUUUGUCUGCCACAGUUCCUGGGAGUUUCAAGCUUUCUGAGCCUUGAGAUUUCCUCAAAAUAAAUUCUUCUCAUUCCAUGGC